rnacentral:rRNA from 1 species
GAUGGUUUCGGCUAUCACUUCUGGAUGGACCCGCGGCGUAUUAGCUAGUUGGUGGAGUAAUGGUUCACCAAGGCAAUGAUACGUAGCCGACCUGAGAGGGUAAUCGGCCACAUUGGGACUGAGACACGGCCCAAACUCCUACGGGAGGCAGCAGUAGGGAAUCUUCCACAAUGGACGAAAGUCUGAUGGAGCAACGCCGCGUGAGUGAAGAAGGGUUUCGGCUCGUAAAACUCUGUUGUUGAAGAAGAACACAUCUGAGAGUAACUGUUCAGGUGUUGACGGUAUUUAACCAGAAAGCCACGGCUAACUACGUGCCAGCAGCCGCGGUAAUACGUAGGUGGCAAGCGUUGUCCGGAUUUAUUGGGCGUAAAGCGAGCGCAGGCGGUUUCUUAAGUCUGAUGUGAAAGCCUUCGGCUUAACCGGAGAAGUGCAUCGGAAACUGGGAGACUUGAGUGCAGAAGAGGACAGUGGAACUCCAUGUGUAGCGGUGAAAUGCGUAGAUAUAUGGAAGAACACCAGUGGCGAAGGCGGCUGGUCUGGUCUGUAACUGA